UUCAAGUGAAACUGUAACGAAUUCGCACCAAGUGCAGCGCCACAUUAUUCGAACGUGUUUGACGUUUGAAUGUUGCAACAAACUGCAGUCAAUUUUUUCUUUCAUUCAAAAUGGCUGACAGGCAACGAGAGAUGGAAAAUUUGCACCAAGAAGCCUCAAACGACGAAAUAAACUUGUCUGUGGAUCUAGUUAAUCUGCUCAACCUAUAUGGUGUAUAGUUUGCUGAUGCCUCGUCAGUAUAGGUUCAGCUUGGAAUCACAUCGGAUAUUGGCACAGAGACGCAAGUAAUAUCAGCGACGGAAGACGCAUUCUCCGAUGACCAGAACCCGGUUGACGAAUCCAGUCAGCUACAGAGUUACAGUGGAAAAUUUCAUCGAUACCGGUGAAUCAACGGAUGAGAGUCUCGUUGACGGCGAUUCCUCCGGAGUUAAUUCAACCCCUUUUGAUAAACUAAAUUAGUUAUACAUGCCA